AGAUCAUCGACUUCCUUGUUGAUUUGAGCUUAUUAAGACAAUGAUAAAAUGUUGAAUAUAAUCAUCAUGUUUAGUGUGAAAAGAUUGUUUUCUUCAGCUAGGAACUACAAACCAGAGCUUCCUGAAAUGUAGAACCAGAUAAUUUCUGCACAUGAAUUGGAUGCUGACGUCUAUCACUAAAUUAUGAAUAGUAUAUUUUUAGUAAUGCGCUUAAAUGUUGUUUACGUGAAAAAGUUUAAAACUAUAUUAAAACUGUAUCUUUUCAUAAUAGGUAUUCACAUUGACAAAAGAUCGGACUAUUAUAUAUUGCUCCUAGACAGAAAUGAACAUUCGCUAUCAUUUAAAACACUGAUUAAGCUCAAAUUGCAAAAUAAAUCAUGUAUAAGGAAUGCUUACUCUUGUACAGUUGUCAUGCAAUGCUGAACAUAACAGAAAAUAGUCUUUGAAUAAUUUUCCAGAUUUAUUAAACACUAUUAUCGGUAUUUUUUACGACAUUCAAUGUUAGGUUUAAUUUUCUACAAUAAAGAUUCAGUGAGGAUAGACACUUUUGUAACCACUCUUAGGAUUGAAACACUAAAUGUUUGCAUCUGCAAACAUCAUUUGUAGAUGAUGUCCGAUGACUAAUUAAAAGGUAAGUGACUGCUUAUCAACUCGUUUAUCCUUUAUGAUAUAACGGAUACGGCUCUCUGCUUUAUUAUCGACAGUGAUGUCCAGUAACAAAACUAAUCUAAAAGACAAAAAGAGAUGACUGAGCUUUUGUUUUGCCGUCUUGAAGUUUUUUUAUUUUUUAUCUGGCUAAGGUUAAUAAACAAAAAUGAUGUUAUCAUGUAUAUGGUAUCUAUUUCAUUUUUAUCUUACAAUUGAUAUAUAUAUAUUUUCUUGCAGAUAACGCUGAUUCAAAUAGUAGUGUGUAUUUGAACUGCGGUCUGACUCCUCCAACUGGAUAUACGUAUCAUUGGGAAAAGAAGUUUGAUUAUUUAUACAAGACUUUUGAAAAGUUGGACCAAGUUGACAAAUAUGAAAAUGUAAACAGCAAAACGCUUAAGAAUAAAUUUCUAAGUUUUGAUGACAGUACUUCCUAUAGAUGCUUGAUCAAAAUGAAAUCCUGUUAAUUAUGGACAAGAGCUGGAUGUAGUUGUGUAUGAGAAUUUGACACAGAAUAUAAUGUACCGGCGACGAAAUAAGGCUCGUUUUUUUCAAGUUUACUGUAAUAAUAAUGUUUUGCACAUAUGUCAUGUAUAUAUUAUACAUUACUCUUGUCGCUUUGAAGAUAAAUCUUGUAGACAUUAAGAUACGGAGCACAGCUAAUUGCAAAGCUUAUCCGAGAGAAGUUUACCAACCAAAGAGCACAAGGAGAUGUUUGACUCAAAUGUCGAAUGAUGCGUGCAAAACAUGCUUGAAAGGAUGGAGUGGAAAGGAUUGUGGGAUACCACCGCAUCCAAAGCAUGUCAACGUAACUGAAAGAGCGAGCCAUAUUAUAUAGUCCAGGCUACAAUAGUGAACCAUGAGAUAGACAUGUUAAAACUAAAGAUAGAAAACUCCCUUCCUUACACGGAUGAGUUUAUUGUCAUUGAAGGAGAUAAGACAUUUGCAUUAGAACCCAAAACAUUUUAUGUGAAAACCAUGAGAAGAAAUUAUCGUCCUUGGUUAGAUUACGUCAGCAUCAUGUUCAUAUAAAGACUACAAAUAAACAUUCUUGGGCGGUUCAAGACGAAAUGCAUUUAUGCAAUACUUCACUACAUGAUUUAUACAAUGACAUACCUUUAAACUCCCUUGUUGUUUUUACAGAUCUAGACGAAAUUGUGCGUCCAGAAAUACUUCAUUUUCUUAAACACUACAAUUGUUCUCCAUAUCCGACUGGAGUGGAUUCGGAUUCGUUUUUGUUUGGAUUCUUUUUCCAUGAUUCACAUAAAACAAUUCGUGCUAGUUCUUUUGGAAAUGUCUUUCAAUCACUACUUUAUAUUCGUAGACAGCCAAUAACAUGGAAUAUUCCGAAAGGAGGAUGGCAUUGUAGUUGGUGUUUAUCGAUAGAAGGUAUCCAGAUUAAAUCAAAGUCUUCGCCAUAUGUUGAUUUACCACGCAUUGCAGAUAAUCCGGAAAUGAUGAAACCAUUUGUUAUCUAUGAGCAUAUCAUUAACGGAAAAUGGUUUCUUGGGAAAAAUAUUAUUUCUAAGAUUAAACCUCAAGACAUUCCUAUUAAUACACCAAUUUAUUUGAGAUCGUACGACUGGAGGAUAAAACAUCCCCCAAAUAAGACUGCUUAAUAUAAAAUAAAAGCUAUAUCUUA